rnacentral:rRNA from 1 species
UGCGUAGGCGGCAUGUCAAGCCAGAGGUGAAAGGCAUUGGCUCAACCAAUGUAAGCCUUUGGAGCUGACGUGCUUGAGUACAGGAGAGGUAAGUGGAAUUCCUAGUGUAGAGGUGAAAUUCGUAGAUAUUAGGGGGAACACCAGUGGCGAAGGCGACUUACUGGACUGUAACUGACGCUGAGGCACGAAAGCGUGGGUAGCGAACA